ensembl:lncRNA
GUUUGGCUGGUUUCUGGUGUAGAGAAGGCUCCCAUUCACCCAGUCCUAUGGAUGGUCCUACAGUGGCUGUUUGUCCAGUUGGUCACUAUUGUCCAAAAGGUAUUUCAGUAAUUUCACUCACUAAAAUCAGCCUUUAUUAGGCCUGUCUUAUGAGAUAUUUUGUACUAAGGAUGACACAGUUUAAUAAUAGGGAUGUACUGCUAUUAAAAUUCUGGCUGAUACAGAUUUCAUAAUUUUAUAUAUAUUUUUAUUAUAUUUUUUAAUAUAAUAAAAACAGUACAGGACUAAGGAGUGCUGAGGAGUGCCAGUCAUGCCCUUGAGGGUUUAACUGUGCCUCUACUGGUCUGACUGAACCAUGUGGACUCUGCUCUGAUGGGUAUGUGCCAAGUAAUACAUACACUGUAAUUGCAUUACUGACUGGAUUAACCUUUGGCAUCAUACUGUACUGUAUGUCCCUGAAAGGUUUUAUUGUGCCGAGAAAGCUGAGACUCCUACUCCUAUUGAUGGAGUCUCUGGCCACAUCUGCCCAGAGGGUCAUUAUUGUCCUCCAGGAACCACUCGCCCUGUGCCAUGUGAUCCUGGGACUUUUGUAACCGUCACUCAGGCCUCUCAGUGAUACUGUGUGGAUAGAGCCCGGCUGCUGUGCCCAGAUGGUUUCUACUGUCUUGAAGGCACAGGGUAUGACCAGAGACCUUGUCCAGCAGGGACAUACAGCCCUGACUCUGGUUUAAGUGUCCUCUCUGAGUGUAGGGAAUGUGAUGGAGGACAAUACUACUCACUUCAGAACUCCACCUCUGUCACAAGAAAAUGCUCUGAGGGAUAUUACUGCACACAUGGGAACAUCUCACCUCAACCUCACACACAGUCUGCAGGUAAAUGUAGCCAGAGAAUUUUAAAGAUAGACAUUUGAGAUAUUGCAUAAAAAAUUCUGGAUGGAAGCACUAAGAUGCAAAUAUUUAUAUUGAGGUAAGUUGUAUAUAUUAUUUUUAUUAUGAAAAAAAAUGAUGAAACGUUUUGAUGAUAAAUGUUGAUAAUUAAUAUGUAUACGUGUACUCCCCAACAGCCCAAUCAACGAUCACAGCGGAGGACCGUGUCCGACAGGUAAUUGACAGAUCCCCCAAUUCAACACAGAUUAAAACACCCACCUUCCCCUCAAACCGGCCCACCUCAUCCUGUUUUCCGCUCCCGCACAGGUUAUUUUUGCUUUAGAGGCUCAGGCACUCCUCAAGUCUGUCCAGAAGGAUCCUUCAGCAGUAGAGAGAGACAGGCCAGCUGCAGCCUGUGUCCCCAAGGGUAGAUACACUUACACAUACACAAGAAUGUUAAACAUUUAAAGGUGAAGAGUAUCAUUUUUUCAUGUUCAAUAUGGUAUCCCAGGUUGUGCAAAGACAGCUAGAAGUGUGACAAUUACACAUAAAUGCUCCGAAAACUCUGUUAUGCUUUCAAAACAUUACAACAAAUCUGACAGAGUAACAGUAACAAUAGAGUGCAACAGGUGGUUUUCAGAAGUAAAAAUCCCAUUCAUUUUCUUCAGUGGGGAACUGCUUUUGAGCAAUAACUUAUGAACCUUUAAAGACAAACUGUGAGCUACGAAAUUUUAAAUUUGAUUGUCAUUUGCAAUGCUUCAUGGGAUUGUAGUUCUUUCCCUCAUUUAAGUUGUUAAGUACACAGUCUUGUACCUUUAUCUUUUUGUCAAAAUUUAUUUAUUUUUUCUUCAAAUUGAAGUUUGUAAUGUUGUGAUUCAUCUCAUAUCUGGUUAAUUUGGUUAAUAACCAAAUAAUAACCCUUUAACGAAGACAUUUUUAAAAUAAAAAAUAAAUAAAAUUGGGUGGGCA